rnacentral:rRNA from 1 species
CCUACGGGAGGCAGCAGUGGGGAAUUUUCCGCAAUGGGCGAAAGCCUGACGGAGCAAUACCGCGUGAGGGAGGAAGGCUCUUGGGUUGUAAACCUCUUUUGUCAGGGAAGAAGAUCUGACGGUACCUGACGAAUCAGCAUCGGCUAACUCCGUGCCAGCAGCCGCGGUAAUACGGGGGAUGCAAGCGUUAUCCGGAAUUAUUGGGCGUAAAGCGUCCGCAGGUGGUUGUUCAAGUCUGCUGUUAAAGCAUGGGGCUUAACUCCAUAUAGGCAGUGGAAACUGGACGACUAGAGUACGGUAGGGGUCGCGGGAAUUCCCAGUGUAGCGGUGAAAUGCGUAGAUAUUGGGAAGAACACCAGUGGCGAAAGCGCGCGGCUGGACCUGUACUGACACUGAGGGACGAAAGCUAGGGGAGCGAAAGGGAUUAGAUACCCCUGUAGUCCUAGCUGUAAACGAUGGAUACUAGGUGUUGCCCGUAUCGACCCGGGCAGUGCCGUAGCUAACGCGUUAAGUAUCCCGCCUGGGGAGUACGCACGCAAGUGUGAACUUAAGGAAUUGACGGCUGAGANGCGAGCGACGACGAGGAGAGG